UUCAAAGGAAGAGCAAGAGUUAAGCAUCCCAGCUCAGCUGCUGUUGAGGACCCAUGCCAUCCAGCUGAGGAGGUCUAACUGGUUGGUCCAAAGAAGGGCCAACAGGUGAGAGCAUUCAGGAAAGCGGCAUAAAAGAGCUGGGAGUUGAACUGAUAGUUUGCUGAGAGCAAUGUUUCUGGAAUUGUAAAGCUUGAAACUCUGUUUAUGUACUUUUGUUUUUUACCUUGACCUUGAUGAAUUGAUGAUGCUCUGGGCUAUGGCUUGUAUUUGAAACUCAGCAUACUGAAAUCUCCACUAUCCUGUUGCUAGUGAUCUCUGCUGUGAUGAAGAACUGUGAUCGGGAUCUUUCUUUUGAUUGCCACACCAGAGAGUAGCAAAUGGAAUUCAAUAGAUCUCUAAUGACAAGCGGGGCUCUCCUGUGUUUCUGCACCUGACAUUCCUAACCGAAGAUCUGAUGGACAAGUUGACAGUCUCCGUGAAGGACAGGCCACCGAACUGAUGCAUCAGAUGGAAAUCAAAAGCAGCCAGAGACUGACAUUUACUGAUCAUUGGCUAACGAAUUCAGAUUCUGACAUUCACCAGUAUACGAAAAUGCAGACCUGCUCUCUCAGAGCCCAUGUAUGCUGCUGUCUGCCUCACUGCAUGUCAUAUCCAUGAUGAUAGUUUUGAAACUAGUGGUAAAGCUAAACUGGUUUUUCUUUUGUGUUGGAAGAGAAAGCCGCAGAAGAGGAUGAGGAGGAUGCAGGGCUGAGAGCGGGGCAGGUGACCAGGAGCCAUGCAGAAGAGCAAGAUCCUGACAGAUGAGUCAGUGGCCUGCCUGAGCCAGGCCUUGAGAAGCCUGCGUGACAUCUGGGAUGAGAUUGGCAUCCCAGAUGACCAGUGCCUGCAGUGCACCCAGGUGUCAGUUUCUGCUGGGAGUUCCUAGCAAUUAACCAGUACUCACACUCCAGGUGGAUGUAACCAGCUUUAUUGCUACUACAUACAGAGAAAGACAAUAACACUUCUAAUUUUCUCAUGUACAUCCAGUUCCUUUUCUAGUGCUCUUCUCUCCUCCCCUUCCAAUCCCUUCCAUAGCCUUCUCCAACUCCUGUCAAUGAUUUCUCCUGAUUAUCACUUCCUUACAGGUCUGCUCUCCUCCUCCAGGUUGGUUUGUUCAUGUUGACCUUGUUUCAAGUAUGUUGCCGGGAACAAGAGCCAAAUGCUUGUCCUUCCAAGCUUUGAAUCAUGUCAUGACAUGAUGCCCCCCUAAAAAGGAAAAGAAACCCCAAAACAAAAAGAGAGAGAAAAGAAAACAGCAUCAAGGUUGCAUGGUAACUAGAUAUACAACACCAUUGUCACUUGUCAGGAUACUGACAGGAUUAUAUUUUUGAAAGGAGGAUGAAAUACACAACAGGCUGUUGUAAGAAGAGUUAAGACUCAAAAUGGGGAACUCUUGAUAGCCAGAGUAAAAGGAAAAAGAAAAUAUAAAGAAAUAAAUCACACUGUCUUCAUGGCUGAUCUAUUCAAAUAAUACUCAGAUUGAAGAUACAACUGUUCUGAGUAGGGGAGAGGUGAAGAGGAAGGGGAAAAGGAAAAAGAAAAACUGAUGAACACAAGUGGUUGACAAGUGUGGAGUUGGGAUUGGUAAGGUUAAAUAAAUAAGAUACACACACACACACACACACACACACUGUAUAUUCAAUAUGUUUUUAUUGUAAACACAGGUAGAAUAAUAUCAAAAUCCAUCACCAUUUCAAUAUACAUAUCAAAUGUUAUUUUCUUAGUAAUCUUAACCUUGCUGAUUCCACCUUUAUCUCCCACUUGUGUCUAUCGGUAUUUCACCCCUCCUCCCACCCUCUGGGAACUGUACUUCCUUUCAUUCAGAUGUUAUUUUAAUUGAUCAAUUGUAAAAAGAGAAUGGUUCAGUUUUUUAUAUUUUCCUUAUUCUUCCUUUUCUGGGAUCAGAUCCUGGGAUAUAUAGGGCAGUGUGGAAGGGGACUGGGAGAGUGAUUAUAAAAAAAGUCAGUAUGUUUCAGGAAUAAUUUGAAUCUUGAUCUACCAAGUGCCAGACCAGCAUGCAAAAUACUUGUUUAUGUACUAUUUAGGAUUUUUAUAUGAAAAAUAUAUAGGAAAAUAAUGUUGGUAGCUCUUAGAGAUACACAGUCAUGCAGAUGGAGAUUUUAUACAUGUUAACAAGCUUACAUAUUGGAGAAGUUGUUUUAUAGUGUUAGUUACAUAAUUGACCCCAGGUUUCCUAGAAUUCUCAGGACUAAGCUUCUGAAAGAGCUUAGUUGGAAGGCAGAUUAAUUGAAAUCAAUACAACAUAUUUUUAAUGUGCCAUUCUGUGAGUGUUCAUAGAAUCAUAAAUUUGGAAGAGAUCACAAGGGUUAUCUGGUCCAAUGCCCACCAAACACAUUCAAAACACUCCCAACACAUGGCCAUCUAUCCUCUGCUUAACUGUAUUGACUCAGAAGUCAACAUAACAGUCGUCUCUAUUGCACUUAGAACAAAAGAAAUAUUUUCAGAGUGUGUUUUGACCCCAUUUGGCACACAAAUAUAUUGUUUUCAUACAUUAGCACUGAUUGACCACUGUUAAAGAUUUGAAAAACCUGUAUCACCUUAUACAUUGGUUUGAAAAUGUAUAGCAAGGGACAUAAUUUUCCUCUUUCUGCUUUCCUAUUACACUUUGUACCACUUCCCACAACUGUAUAAAUGUGUUUUAUAACCUGAGACUUCAAUGUCACUCUGUACUGAAUCUGAAGAAGUUUAUAUAGCCACAAAAGCUCAUGCUAAAAUAAAAUACAGUUAAUCUUAAAUGUAUUUGUUCCAAAGAGUAACCCUUUUAAACUCUUGAGUACCUUUUUCUGGGUCAUUCCUAAACCACCUAACUUCUCUAUCAUCUUAGAUUCCUAAGCAACAUAAAAAAACGACAAAGCUAAUAAUUCUGUGGA